ensembl:lncRNA
AUUCAUCUUAUCCUGAUAAACCAGAGAUACAUAGAAAAAAUAACCAAAAUAUGAUUCCCAGAGAUUAAGGAAGGGAUUGAUUUUAUAAUCCUUGAUUUAUAAACUGCCAACUAUUUAUAUCACAGUUGCUGAAAAAUUAGUAAGUAGUUGUGAAAGGAUUUUCUGUCACCACCGUUGGAGGGCCUACAGAUGAGGAUGUAAUCAAAACAUGAGGACCUGAUCCCUAAAGAAAAAGAUGUUUUGUCUGUGUAAAUUGGACCUAGGAUCUGUCUUCGUCAUUAAUGCUAGGCAGAUGGUGACACCCUAGGAAAUAAGACCCUUGAACCAUAUGUGUCAAGGUACCUUUAAACACAGUAAAACCCAUCAUUACUUACUCCAUGUGCCAUACUUCUAUAUUACUGGCUGACACGUUCCAUUAUGGCUAAUGAAUUUACUCUCUACAGAUGUAGUGUUUGUGCCUUUGUUGAACCAGAUGUUCCUGAACCAGAGGUCAUUUGUUGGAAUUGGGGUAUCACUCUGUUUUUGAGCUGCAGUUUAAUAAAUCAGCUCUGCUGAAGUCUUAGACACUAGGAAAUUGAAUAAACUGUUUUUGAUGUUAGAGGAAAAGGAAAUCUCUGCUAGUUGUUCUACUUAUUGUGUUUUUCCAUCAAACAAGCCAUGUAUCAUGAAUUAUGUCACUUUAAGAGUUGCUCUGAUACCUUUGUAAUGGAGAAAAAGGUAAAUCAGAGUCUAUGGCAACAUUAUUUCUCUGUUGACUGAUAGCCCAAGAAAUUCAGGUGUAGUUUUAGGUGCCCUCCCCAUUUGCUGGUAUGCCCCAAUCUUUUAAACAGAAAGAGAGUAGAUUUAGUGUUAAGUUCUCGUUUAAUAAUUUGGCACAGGCAAAGAAAUGGAAAAGUAAUUCUAAGUCUGCGAUGUGUCUCACUGCAUUUUCAAGUGCCAAUGAAAAUUUUAGCCAUGCCUCUUUUUAAUGAGAGUAUUAAUGAAAACAGUUUGAGUGCAUCUUCAACAAGUUCUUUGAAAUAGGAACGUGCCUCUGAUGUGCAUAUUCUUAGAGGAUCUUGAAACUUAUCUUGCCGUAAAUAUCAAAGUUCUCUAAUGAGACUUUGAAGAGGUAGGAGAUGAUGAUAAACUGUGAAUGAGUUGGCAGUUUCAGAAACAGGAAAAUGUAAAACUCUAAGGUACAAUUGCUAGUUACUCAUAAUGGCCAUCUCAUUUCCUUUCUGGUACUUGCAGAAGUCAGUUGGUCCCUUUUCUACAUGAACUAACGUAAAAAAAUAUCAACAUCAAAUGAAUUAAGAUUGUUAUUUUAUAAACCAUAUGGUCAAGUAGAAUCUGAAAAUAAAGGCUGAUGAUUAAAUCACUUAAUGAGGGUCUGUACAGGAGGCUGUGUGUUAUUUGACAGGAAAUCAGACUAGAUAAUCAAAAUAAUACUUCUGGCCUCAAAAUACACAAAUCUGUCCAUUUAAUAUUUUUUUUACCAUGUUUGAUGAAGUAACUGGUGGUUGCUUUGAACUCUCAAACUGAGAAUAGAUCUUAGUCAUGUUUUAAAUUGAAUGGAAAUAGCUCUUUUAUAUAUCUUAGUACAAUGACAAAACUAGUUUUCUUCAUUUAAGAGCAAAUAGGCUCUUAUCUGUUUAGUUCAAAGAUAGGGUUUUUUUUUUUUUUAAUUUCGCAAAGCAACAAUUACAAUCCUUUUCUUCUAUAAGUGAAAAGCAGUGCUGUGAAUAUGACAUAAAACUUUUCUCUUUCUUUCCCUUCAUAAGAGUGUGCAUAGUUAUACAGAUCAAACAGGAUCUAAGAAUAAAGAUGACUUUUUUAUGGCAUUUCCAGAUGAAUACUUACAUAUACCCGUUUAAGACAUUUUUUUUCAUUACCACCAAACUACUUGUCCAAGAUCACAGUCAUGAACAAGAUCACAAGACUUCAGCUACCAUUUAAUUCAUUCAUUUUCCUUCUGGGACUUCAUCCAGUUUGCCUUAAAUAAUGCUACUCAGGAAUUGGCCUGCUUCGUCUAUACAUAUGAAUCAAAUGGGAACUGGAGUGGUAUGUCUGUGAUCUUGCAAUAGUAUCUUAACGGUGGUGACUAAAAGAAGAAAAAGAAAAUCAGAAGACAGCAAAGGUACUGCGUUUCUUAAAUAUUUAUUUGAACCCUUAUCUAAAAUAUGAUUUUUCAGAGCAUAAAUGUCCUUGAAGCACGUUUGAUCUUAGAUAUUUUAUUGUUCUGGAUGCUAACCCUGACACAUAAUAUUGUCCUUUAAAAAACAGACUCUUCUCGGAAAAUAUUGUCUUGCAUUUAAUUUAAAGUUAUAUAUGUCUGUUAGGUUACUAGAAUGUUAGCUCUGUUUAAGUCUUUGAACAGAAUCUUGAACACUGAAAUAUGUGAUAAAUUCUUUCUUUACAAUUUGUCCUAAAAAAUAUCUAUAGAUUUCAGCAAGCUUAGCCAAGAAUUAUUGUUGAGAAAUACUGUUGUUGUAGAAUUGCUCAGCCCCGUCUUUUUAGGGUAGGAAUACAUAUCUGAAACAAAAAUUAUUAAAUUUACAUUCCAUUUUUCUAGCUCUUUUCAUUUGGGUUAGAGUCCAAAUAGCUUCAAAAAUGUUUCUAAUGAGAUUUUGAAUUUCUUGUAACAGUGCCACUGGGAACUCCACUGUCUGAGAAUUUGCUGGAAUAUAGCUCUUUCUUGAUUUCAAAUAAUUCUUUAGAAACAUUAAGGAUCUCAAAUUUCAGUUCAAGUAGUAACAUUCUCAAAUAUGACUGUAAAACUGAAAUUUUAUUUUAUCUGACUGUGGUAGCAUGUAGUUGUAAAGUAAACCUUUUGCAAUAAUCAGAAUUUAAUACCAUGUGAUUAGGAAUUUAAUCAGACCAAAUUGUAUUUAAUAUCAAUAGUAUAUUUUAUGCUCCAACUUAAAGAUGUAAUGGGCUGAUAUCAAGUUUAAUAGUACUGUUGCCAUGAAGCUAAUAUUGACAGAAACCAGUGUCUCUGUUAAGCUUUGAAAGCAGUAUUUACUAUUACUUGUAAAAUGACUGCAAACAUAACUACCUGAAAUACAGUUCAAUGCAUUUGGAAUUUGUGUUAAACUUUAACUUAACUUUACUUGUGUAAAAUUUAACAUGCAUGGUUAGGUAUUAGACCUCUUGCAGUACUUCCAGAAUUGCCACGGUUUCUUUUGAAUUUCCAGCUACUACUUGUUGUCCUUUGUUUUGUUGCAUUUAUAAUUACUCAGGAGUAUUUAGAUGUAUGUUUCGAUAUCCCAUUUAAAGAGGAAUUUCUAAUGAUUGUAAAUAUGACAAUACCUUGGGUAGAGAGUUUGUGUAUGACUGCAGGAAUUUAGUUGAAGAAUAGGUGGGAGUUGGUGGAAGCCCAAAGGGAUGAAAAGAGAGACAGAGUGGCUGUGUCCCCUUGCAUAUUGCAUCUUCCACUAAAUUUCUGGGUGUAUUGAAGUUUUCCUUGCUACAACUGAAAACUUGGUUCUGAUGCUGCUGAAAUAUUUUCUUAUAGCCAGAUAAAGAAUGAGGAAAAUUAUAUUAUUCAAAUUUAUCAAAUUGAAAAUAUCCUCACUUUGUCAUGCUGGUUUGUUUGUUUGUUUGUUUGUUUGUUUUCAUCAUCAUCAGUUAUCAAAUCCAGAGUGAAGCAUGUUGCUUUUUGAGCAGACCUCAGGUUAGCUCUGUGGUCCUGCAUGCUUGUGAUAUUUCUCCCCCCCAGCUCUGGCUUUUCUAUCAUUCUGGUAACCAAGUGCUUAAAAUUGCAUGGGAGAGACAUAUGGAAAUAACUUUUCUUUGCUCUAGCUUUGACACAGUGAGUAACUCAGGUCUCAGUCAGUACAACUGCAUUAAAUUGUAUGUAUAUGUAUGCAUUCAGAGCAGUUAAUUCUGUGCUUAGUGACUAUGAAGUCUGACUGCAAAUUACAGAAGUUUUUCAAUUUGAACUCAACUCCAGCUUAUACUUUUGUAAUUCCUUUUGGGCCUGCGUGGUUAGCCAGUAGUGAGGUGUUUACUAGGAUGAUCAGAAAAUACACUACUUAUUUACUACUGUACCUUUCAGUUACAUCAAAUGUCAUAAAAGAUUUUAUUUUCUGAAGGAUCAGAGCAAGAAAAUGUGAUUUCUCCCAUGUCACUUUCUAGAUGUUUUUUCCCCCAGAUUACUGUUCUUUAUAUUUUUUUCCAGAUGGAAAAGACAUACUCAAACAUUAUUCACACAUGGCUUUUUUGGGAAUUUAUGUGGUUGCUGUUUCGUCACGUGUAAAGUGAGCUUCGCCUCUCCUGGCGAUGAUGACCUCUUUUGCAACAACCAGAAAGAGACACUGGAACAAGUCUUCUUUUGAGGGGUGUUUGCAGUGAAUGGCUUCCUGUCCUUCAGCAGUGUGCAUUGCAUUGGGUGCAGAGUUCAUUUAUGCUGUGUCCGCUUUGAGUGACCUCAUACUCAAUGAUGUUCUGUGCUAGAAGAAACUUCCUCAGGUCUUAUAAAUGGCAUCUGCAUUUACUCAAAAAGAAACACUGCUUCAGAAUUUCAUACACAGAUAAUGUACUCAAAAAUCUUCACCAUAGACAAACAGGACCCAAACUCCUGAGGUGUUGAACAUUUCUGAUGAGGAAUCGGGUACUGUGACUGCAAAGUGUACUCCAAACCAGCUGAGACAAUAUUCGAUGCAGUAUGCUAAGUGUGGAAUACUCUGUGCAGAAGGAAAUGCCUUACCUUUUCCUUGAGUACUUGGCCUUGGAUUUAAGAAGAACAGCACAAAAAAGGAAACCCUUGAAAAGUGCUGCAAUUCCAGCUUUUUUUCUAACUCUGCCAGCAUAUUGCAAGAAGGAAGAAGUGGAAUAUCAGGAGCUCAGACUCAGUGCAGAGAACAGUGGCUCAGAUCCUUGCAGGCAUCUGACACGUAGGUAUCAUGGAUUUCACUAAGAGCUUGGUCUAUCUUCAUUUGAACAAGAAAGCCUUUACUACUUAAGCCUUAUGAAUAUUUACUUUAAAGAUAUGGGUUUUUUCCUGUUUAUUAUGUGUGAUGAAGCAAAUUAGAGAUCUAGGAAUCUGACAGGUACUCAAGAUUUGAAUACUUUUUCAACAAAUAAAAUGAGGAAGAUUCACAAGCUUUCUUGUGCUGCAGCUAUAUGUAUGUACGUGUAACCAGUUACUGAGAUUGACAUAAAUACCUGGUAUGGCUGUGGUGAUGAAAACAGUAAAGAUUGGCAAUAAGUCACGAUUCCCUUUUAGAAGUAAGAUAAAUUCUACAUAACAUUCAAGCACAUCUGUCACCCCAACUAAUGAAAGCUGAUUUAAGUCAUUUAAUAGAAGCUGGAAUCCUUGAUAAUGACACUACUACUUUUCUUCCCAAGAUAAUUAUUAGCUGACCAAGAUGUUUCUUGGAUGUGAUGGUCUGCUGAAGAUAUAAACACUCAAACAUUUCUGCAAAUCAUCAAUACUUUAUUAUGCAGCUUCUGCAGUACUCACCCACUGAUGUUGCCAGGAACACUCAUAUCAAAUUAUUUACAAUAGUAAUGAAAACGGUACCACCAGAGACUUUGUGGAUGGCUCUCCCUGCAAUGUGUGACUCUUGAUUGGUGUUUCCAGAAAGCUAAAUUCAGUGCAGCUCUCUCAACUGCAUUCUGGCCUCUUGUGGAUUUUUCUUCUUGUCAGCUUUAAGUAGCAUUUUCAACAAUGAACUUCUGUUCUUCAGCUUAUCACUAGCCUUGAACUUACGAAUUUAGUUUCUGAAGGCAAAGCUUAGUGUGUUAGCCACAAUGACUCUGUUAAUUUAAAUGAUAUUAUGUUCAGGUACAGCUCUGUUUGCAGAAAGAAUAAGGGUGUGUAAUAGAGAUGGCAGUGAGAAAUCGAGGAAGAUGGCAAGACAAGUGCUGAUUUCUAAGCAAUGUUGUCUAUAGUGAUAGGUAAAUGCAGUUUUAUUUUCAAGUAGUGCAAUUUAAACAGAAAAUUUAAGAAAAACAACCCUCUCUGACCAUGAAGACAUGGAUGGUAACCCCUCUUUGACUUCAGUGCACUCUGUCCAUGAUUUGGUUUUAUGAGUUUUUCUCUCAUAAGGUGAUAACUCUGUGAGUAAGAAAUAGCGCCAACUGUUAGGAUUUUUCCUAGCAGGGAGAUAAAUGUGUAUAAUGGCAUGUCUUGCAUUGUGGUCUGUUACUGAUGGUUUCAUUGGAAAUUUUUAUUGGAAAAAUGAUGUAGGGGAAAUAAAACUCCAGCAAACAGCUUGCCUAAUGCUUUCACUGUAAAGAAUAAAGAGAAGAAGUCUUUAACUGGUAAAAAUGUUUCUGAGCUCUCACAAAGUAUGUUUUGUUUGUAAUCUUAGGGUCUAGAAAGGCCAGAUCUUUAAGCCUGGUACUUAACGCCCCCACCCCCCCAAAAAUUGCCUUUCAGUCAAGGAUAGAUUUUUUUUU